UGGGAUAAGUUGCAGUUCACACAGUUCAGCUCAUGUGAGGGGGGAGGAUGUUGUUGGGCAGAGUUAUUUGUUUGAUUAAAUUGGUUGUAAUGAACCCCCCUCUUUAUGCGUUUCCUAAAGGGUACCGUGCAAAGAUGAAGGUUGUUUCACCUCCUGAACCCAAUACCAGAGAGGAGUUCUUGAAAUAUUCCUGCCAGCUCACAAGUGAGUGCACCCGUGCACUAUUCAGAGGAUGAAAAGGAUUUAAUCUGUUAGACAUCAGCUUUGCACAAGCUCCAUUGACAAUGAGCUGUUUGCAUUGUUUGUUGAAAUAAAUUCUAUGCAAUCUGAUGUAGCUCAUGGAAUGGAUGUUUCUUUUGUAGUAUAUGUUUUGUUGAGUUGAUGUUUAAAUGGCUUCCGGUCCACAGUUAUGGAGCUUUGACUUGAAGGGUUAUGGCUGUUCUAUUAAAUGUCAUUCAAUCUCAAACUUACAAUAAGAAAGUUCUCUCUCUCUCUAUGGUUGUGACAGACCACUUAUAGCCCCUCUGCUGGCCAGACCUGGUAUCUGAUACGUGAGUUCAGAUCCAGGAAGUGAAAUGUUAUAUGGGUUAGUGGGAGCCACUCCUAAGCCUACUCCUCAGCACAAUUGGAAACGAAACUCAUCUCUUUAGCUCAGUCUGCUUGCGUUUCAAAAUGGCAGAAGCCAUGGACUCAAUCAGUUGUUCAAUCUGUUUGGAGAUACUGAAGGAUCCAGUGACUAUUCCCUGUGGACACAGCUACUGUAUGGACUGUAUUAAAUGCUUCUGGGAUCAGAAGCUUGUCUGCAGCUGCCCCCAGUGCAGACAGAUCUUCCCUACAAGGCCUGUUCUGAACAAAAACACUGUCAUUGCAGAAUUGGUGGAAACACUGACAGAAAUAAAUACGAAGAAGAUUCAGGAGGUGAGACUUAAGAUGAAGGUUGUUUCACCUCCUGAACCCAAUACCAGAGAGGAGUUCUUGAAAUAUUCCUGCCAGCUCACAUUGGACCCCAACACAGCUAAUAGAUAUCUGCGUCUGUCUGAGGGGAACAGGAAGGUGACCAGGAGUGAAAAUGCUGAGUCCUAUCUUCACCAUCCAGACAGAUUUAAUUUCUACUGCCAGCUGUUGUGUAAAGAAGCUUUGUCUGGAACCUGCUACUGGGAGGUAGAAAGGAGUGGGAGCAAGUGUAAAGUUGCCGUGUCUUAUAAAGGGAUCUGCAGGAGAGGAAAUGGAGUGGAUGUUAGCUUUGGACGAAAUUAUCAGUCCUGGACAUUGGUCUGUGAUCCGUCUAUCUGCUCUUUCAGGCACAAUAAUAUCAAUACUGAUAUCCCUACCCCCUGCUCCUCCAGAGUAGGAGUGUACCUGGACCACAAGGCAGGAACUCUGUCCUUCUACAGUGUCUCUGACAAGAUGACCCUCCUCCACAGAGUCCAGACCACAUUCACUCAGCCCCUCUACCCUGGAUUCUGGGUUGGUCCUGGUUAUGGAUCAUCUGUGAAGAUACUGACACCAAUAUAGUAAAUUAACAAAGUUUUAUCUACACUCAUUGACUUUCAGUGUGUUCAUAAGCAUCGUAAAAUCUUUUUCAGCCUGACACAAUAACAUGAUACCUUUAUGAAAACAGUAAUACAAUCUACAAGUGAGUGCACCCGUGCACUAUUCAGAGGAUGCAGUCCAUUUCAAUGAAAGGGAUUUAAUCUGUUAGACAUCAGCUUUGCACAAGCUCCAUUGACAAUGAGCUGUUUGCAUUGAUUGUUGAAAUAAAUUCUAUGCAAUCUGAUGUAGCUCAUGGAAUGGAUGUUUCUUUUGUAGUAUAUGUUUUGUUGAGUUGAUGUUUAAAUGGCUUCCGGUCCACAGUUAUGGAGCUUUGACUUGAAGGGUUAUGGCUGUUCUAUUAAAUGUCAUUCAAUCUCAAACUUACAAUAAGAAAGUUCUCUCUCUCUAUGGUUGUGACAGACCUGGUAUCUGAUAUGUGAGUUCAGAUCCAGGAAGUGAAAUGUUAUAUGGGUUAGUGGGAGCCACUCCUAAGCCUACAUCUCAGCACAAUUGGAAAAUAAACUCAUCUCUUCAGCUCAGUCUGCUUGCGUUUCAAAAUGGCAGAAGCCAUGGACUCAAUCAGUUGAUCAAUCUGUUUGGAGAUACUGAAGGAUCCAGUGACUAUUCCCUGUGGACACAGCUACUGUAUGGACUGUAUUAAAUGCUUCUGGGAUCAGAAGCUUGUCUGCAGCUGCCCCCAGUGCAGACAGAUCUUCCCUCCAAGGCCUGUUCUGAACAAAAACACUGUCAUUGCAGAAUUGGUGGAAACACUGACAGAAAUUAAUACGAAGAAGAUGCAGGAGGUGAGACUUAAGGACCUGAGCCCUAGGACCAUGCCCCAGGACUACCUGACAUGAUGACUCCUUGCUGUCCCCAGUCCACCUGGCCGUGCUGCUGCUCCAGUUUCAACUGACCUGAGCCCUAGGACCAUGCCUCAGGACUACCUGACAUGAUGACUCCUUGCUGUCCCCAGUCCACCUGGCCGUGCUGCUGCUCCAGUUUCAACUGUUCUGCCUUAUUAUUAUUCGACCAUGCUGGUCAUUUAUGAACAUUUUAACAUCUUGGCCAUGUUCUGUUAUAAUCUCCACCCAGCACAGCCAUAAGAGGACUGGCCACCCCACAUAUGCUCUCUCUAAUUCUCUCUUUCUUUCUCUCUCUCGGAGGACCUGAGCCCUAGGACCAUGCCCCAGGACUACCUGACAUGAUGACUCCUUGCUGUCCCCAGUCCACCUGACCGUGCUGCUACUCCAGUUUCAACUGUUCUGCCUUAUUAUUAUACGACCAUGCUGGUCAUUUAUGAACAUUUGAACAUCUUGGCCAUGUUCUGUUAUAAUCUCCACCCGGCACAGCCAGAAGAGGACUGGCCACCCCACAUAGCCUGGUUCCUCUCUAGGUUUCUUCCUAGGUUUUGGCCUUUCUAGGGAGUAUUUCCUAGCCACCGUGCUUCUACACCUGCAUUGCUUGCUGUUUGGGGUUUUAGGCUGGGUUUCUGUACAGCACUUUGAGAUAUCAGCUGAUGUACGAAGGGCUAUAUAAAUAAAUUUGAUUUGAUUUGAUUAUUACCUGAUAUAAGUCUGGGAAUAAAACAUGGGCCUCCCAUAAGCCAAGGAAUUUUAAGACACAUCAA